rnacentral:rRNA from 1 species
GUACAUGUAUACAACAUAGCGUUAAUGCAUCGGAUCCCAUUAGAACUCCGCAAUUAAGCGUGUUGGGCUAGAGUAGUACUGGGAUGCGUGACUGCCC